AGCAGCCGCGGUAAUUCCAGCUCCAAUAGCGUAUAUUAAAGUUGUUGCAGUUAAAAAGCUCGUAGUUGAAUUUCGAGACCGGUUUAUUGGUCGUGCUUUUGUACGUACUGGUAUUAUUGGUUUCUCCUUUCUGACGAACUUUAAUGCCAUUAAUUUGGUGUUUUAGGGAAUCAGGACUGUUACUUUGAAAAAAUUAGAGUGUUUAAAGCAGGCUCACGCUUGAAUACAUUAGCAUGAAAUAACGGAAUAGGACGUUUGAUUCUAUUUUGUUGGUUUCUAGGAUCGACGUAAUGAUUAAUAGGGAUAGUUGGGGGCAUUAGUAUUCAAUUGUCAGAGGUGAAAUUCUUGGAUUUAUUGAAGACUAACUACUGCGAAAGCAUUUGCCAAGGAUGUUUUCAUUAAUCAAGAACGAAAGUUAGGGGAUCGAAGACGAUCAGAUACCGUCGUAGUCUUAACCAUAAACUAAUGCCGACUA
rnacentral:rRNA from 1 species